UACAGAGGCCCCGAGCGUUAGGCGGAAUCACUGGGCUUAAAGCGUGUGUAGGUGGAUGCCUAAGUACCUUGUGAAAUCCCACGGCUUAACCGUGGAAUUGCUGGGUAUACUGGGUGUCUUGAGCCACUCAGGGGCUACCGGAACAAAUGGUGGAGCGGUGAAAUGCGUAGAUAUCAUUUGGAACGCCAAUGGUGAAAACAGGUAGCUGGGGGUGUGCUGACACUGAGACACGAAAGCCAGGGGAGCAAACAGG
rnacentral:rRNA from 1 species